UUUACACCCAAAGCAGGGCUCGAACUCACAACCCUGAGAUCAAGAGUCACAUGCUCCACGGACUGAGCCAGCCAGGUGCCCUGGUACUGUUUUAUAACAUCUUUCACUAAAGAUAAUGUCAUAACAUUAACAUGUCAGUCCAUGUAUUCCUACCAGGGACUUUUAAAUGGCUACAAAGUAUACCAUCAUGGUGCUAUAAUGGAAGUCACUCAACCAGUUUAUUGUUGAAUAUUUAAAGGUUAUUUUAAAAUGUUUGUCAUCACAAACAAUACCAAUACAAAUGACCUUAUAAACGCAUCUUUGCCUAUAUGUUUCUUCCUUUAGGAUACAUUGCUGAAAGCAGAAUAGGGGGGUAAUAUGAAUGUUUUUGCUAUUUACUGACAACUUGAUUUUUUUUUUUUCUGGAAUAAUUAUCAAUCAACCCGACUCCCUCUUCUAAAUCCUUGUUCCCCAGAAAUCUAAGAUCUAAAUGACAUGGACAUGUAUUUAUAUGUCUCUUCCCAGAGCCGUAGGCAUCUUCCCAGGGUUACUUAGAGGUAGUUUCUGGCAUGACUUUCCUACCUAAGUCCACCCUAUCCUGCUUAAUAGGAUUUCCAUGUGUCACACGUGCUCUGAAGUAUUAGUACGUGCGCCGAAGGAGACAAGGUUCUCUGUGAUUACUUUUCAACAUUGAAAAAAAAAAAAGUGUAUAUGCCUCACAUUUAUUUAUCUGCUCCAUUUACCAGCACCCAGCCUCAUCCUGCCUCAAUGAACUUAAUGAGAUUAACAGAUGCUAUUUCUUUAAUCUUCAGCAGAGCCCUUUCAGGCUGUGACAAGAAAUCUUGUUUCCUUGGUUUGCCAUCAAGUACCAGAAGACAAGAAGCUUCAACAACUGGAAUUCAUUGUCUUCCAGAUCUGGAGGCUACAAACCCAAGAUCAAGCUGUCAGCAGGGUUGAUUCUUUCUGAGGGCUGUGAGGAAGAAUCUGUUCCAUGCCUUUCUCCUGGCCCUGAUGGCAUCCUGGCAAGCUUUGGUGUUUCUUGGGAAGUAGAAGCAUCAUCCCCAAUCUCCAUCUUCAUCUUCUCAUGGCCUUCUUCUUCCAUGCAUGUCUGUCUUCAAAUUUCCCCCUUUCUAAGGAUACUAGUCCUAUUGGAUAGAGUCCAGCUUACUCGAGUAGGACCUCGUCUUAACUAAUUACAUCUGCAAAGACCCUAUUUCUAAAUAAGGUGACACUCUUCGGUAUUAGGGUGUCGAAUUUCAACAUAUCAAUCUUGUUGGGGAUGGAGUUGGGGAGGAACCACAAUUCCAUCCGUAAAAUUUCUUCUUUUGAAUUUUUUUCACUGCCUGGUUUGUAUUUUGUUCAUGGAAUGUACCGCAUUCUUUGUGGUUAUCUGUCUUGCCUGUCCUUCUAAAUUAUAAGGUCUUUGAAGGCUGGUUUAUUCUUUAUAUAACCUGUAGCGUCAAGCACGGAGGAUGCGGUGUUGCAUAGUUUUCACUCUAGCUACCUCUGGCACCCAGAGGUACCUCCAAGUGGCAAGAGGCAGAAUUUUAUUAAAAUGGAGGGAAAUCCAGACUUUUCUAGGUACUUGCAUGUGGUUAAGUUUGUGUACAUUGUAGGAAUCAGGACAAAGUGAUUGGGAUUUGAAAGUCAGGUUGAGAACCAUGUCUGUGUUAGUCCGUCUCCUGGAGUCAGCUAAGAGUGAGGAAUGGAUGGGAGUGGGGUGGGGAGUGAGAGAGAGCGAGAGAGAGACAGAGAGAGAGAGAGAGUGAGAAUCAAUGAAUGAAUGAAUGAAUGAGGAUGAACAAAUACAGCUAUCAGAAAGCCAGGGGAAAUUCUGAGUUAAUGACUGAAUAUGUGGCAUGAUGUCAGAACACGAGAAAGAUGCCACAGAAGACGUGAAUACAAGGGUUAGGAUUACAAGAACAUUCCAAAACCUAAUGCCAGUGUUCAGAGGACAGAGAUCCUGCAGGAGCUCAAGGGAGGAAGUAAGUAGAAGAGCAAGCACCAGGGUCCAGGAUAUAUGGCAAAGGUGCAAAAUACCUGUGCAAGGGUCUGGGCAACACAAAUACAAAGCAAGAAACUUAUUUGAUGAUGGACCAGGCUGUUGCCUUUUCCCAGGGAGCUCGCAUCACUGUGAAGGCCAGGAAUAGAUGCAUGAAUCCAGCCAAUCGAGACCCCGGUUGGAGAGAGAAGGGGGAAGUUGUCUGGAGCAAGGGGUUAUGGACUCACACAGCCCCUGACAACCACUACAGACAGCCUCAGUGCCCAAGUGCGUGUCUCAUAGGAGGCCAACCUUCAUUUGUGGUUCGUGGUCAACAAUACCGAACUAGUCAAUACUGAACAAUAGCCAAAAUACUGAACUAGACAACUAGAAAAAAAAGAACAAGUCAUUGUUCCUUCUCCCAAGAUCCUUACGGAUUCGUGGGGAAAUAAAACACAUUCGAGAAAAAGUCGACUACCAUCCGGGGCCUGCCUUUAGUUAGGAGCUGGGAACCUGGAGGAGUGGAGAACAGGACAAGCAGGAAAGCAGCACACACACCUGGGAUGCCAGAACGUGACUUUAUCGCGUGGACCAGCGUUUCUAAAAAUGUGUUCCUCUGAGAUGUUCCAUGAAAACAGGAUUCCAAGAGCAAAUUUGUUUGGGAAACACUAGAUUCUGUGUACUCCUCUUGGGAAUUUACAGGGCACGUGAACACAUUAGAGGCAUUAAAGUUCUUAAAAAAGCA